rnacentral:rRNA from 1 species
UUAUCAAAAACAUGUCUCUUUGAGAUUUUUUAAUAAAGAGUUGGGCCUGCUCGGUGAUUAAUAUUUAACAGCUGCGGUAUUAUAACUGUACUAAGGUAGCAUAAUAAUUUGCUCUAUAAAUUGGGGCUAGAAUGAAUGGUUUGACGAAAAUUUGACUGUCUCUAUUUUAUUUAUUAGAAAUUAAUUUUUGUAGUGAGAAAGCUUAAAUUGUUUAAAGGGACGAAAAGACCCUAUUGAGCUUAUAUUAUUUUAUAAAUUAUAUGAUUGUUGUUUAUUUAGAAUAAUUUUGAUUGGGGUGAUCAAGGAAUAAGAUUGUUUAAAUUAACUUCCUUAAUUAAUUUGUUUUGUGGAAAAAUAAACCAAAUUUUUUGCUUAGAAGAUAAGUUACCAUAGGGAUAACAGCGUAAUUUUUUUUGAGAGUUCAUAUUGAAAAAAGAGAUUGCGACCUCGAUGUUGGAUUAAAAUUAACCUUAAGGUGAAGAGGCUUUAUUAG